UUGUUUUGAGUAAAUGGCUUGAGUUAACUAUUAUUAGUUGACAGCCCUACUUUUUUAUUUUAACUUUUUAAAAGGUAAGAGAUAUGGUACUUUAUCGUGUGUGUGUAUUUGUACACAUUCAGUUUCUACCAGCACUGGUUAAGUGGACGUAUCAACAAUCUCUAACACACAUUCAUGAAUAAACACCAUUACAAUGCAAAUUAAUUCACCAUAUAGUGGAAAACAGUCAUUAAAGCACUUCUGAACUAACUUUAAAGCCAGGAGCUUUGAAUAUUGUAAGCAUGUGAGUUGACGGAACUGAUCACCCCAACCUAAUAGUGGGUUUCAAAGAGUUUGGAAAGAUGGAGUCAUUUUUCUGAUUGAUAAACAAAAAAGAGACAGAAGACUGCAUUGAAGAAGAGAGAUAGA